rnacentral:snRNA from 1 species
CGUUCGUCUGACUUGGGU